rnacentral:rRNA from 1 species
GGGUCAUUAGGUUGGUCGUGCCACCGGUACGUACUGGUCUCACUGAUUCCUCCUUCCUGAAGAACCGUAAUGCCAUUAAUUUGGUGUUGCGGGGAAACAGGACUGUUACUUUGAAAAAUUAGAGUGUUUAAAGCAAGCUAACGCUUGAAUACGUUAGCAUGGAAUAAUGAAAUAGGACGAUCGAUCCUAUUUUGUUGGUUUCUAGGAUUGACGUA